UAGCAAACUGAUAAGGAUGAUAAAAAUGCUGUAAAACCUGACAACAGAGCAGUUCAAGUUCAACUGGAUCAGGCGGAAGGGGAAGGUAGACUGCCUGUUUUGCAGUUCUAUGGAUAAACUAUUGCAGAAACUUUCUAAAAUGUCUGGCAACGAAAAAAACAAAACAACAGCCAUUGUGAUCGGUGCUGGCAUGAGGGGAUAUGGUUAUUCUUACUACCAAAGGAUGAAACCAGACAGGUUCCGGGUCAUUGCAGUAGCAGACCCAAAAAAAUACCAAAGAGAGAAGCUGCAGACUCUCUGUGGCAUUUCCGACGACAUGGCGUUUAAAGUCUGCAGGCAGUUUUUUCUCCAUCGAAAUGCCUCUAGAUCAUCUGUGUAAUUUUGUGCUUUGCGGCCAUCAGAUUGGAGGGAAGUAGUAGAGAAGGAGAAGUUUGCUGACUGUGUGAUAAUCUGUACCCAAGACAAGCUACACAAGGAACCAACAGUGGCGUUUGCCAAGAAAGGGUACCACAUAUUAUUGGAAAAACCAAUGGCGACUACAGAGGAGGACUGUCGGAAGAUUGUCCGAGUCUGCAAAGAAAACAAUGUCUUCUUGUCGGUCUGCCAUGUUCUCCGAUACACGCCAUGGGUCAGGAAGAUCAAGGAACUGAUAGACAGCGGGGCCAUUGGAGACGUGGUCAAUAUUCAACAUCUAGAACCUGUAGGAUACUGGCAUUUUGCCCAUUCCUACGUGAGAGGAAAUUGGCACAAUGAAAGCGAGAGUUCUCCAUCCUUACUGGCCAAAUGUUGCCAUGAUGUUGACCUCGUGUGUCAUUGGAUGGGAGAAAGGAAGUGCCAGAGAGUGUCAUCUUUUGGACAUCUGAGUCAUUUUAACAAGGAAAAUAAACCAAAGAAGGCGGCCAACAGGUGCUUGGAAUGUCCAAAGGAAUUGGAGUCCAAGUGUCCCUACUCAGCAAAGAAAAUUUACAUUGAAGAUGGCAUUAAAGCUUCAAACACAGGUUGGCCUGUAUUUGUACUAACAGCAGGACCCCCUGACAUAGAAAACGUGACGGAAGCCCUGCGGACUGGGCCGUACGGACGCUGUGUUUAUGACAUGGAUAAUGACGUCAUGUCACAACAGGUAGUUAACAUGCAGUUCACUGGUGGGGCCACAGCUUCAUUGUCAAUGAUAGGAUUCACAGGAUCAGUGUGUACAAGGGAAGUCAAUGUGUUUGGAACAAAGGGUGAGAUCAGAUAUAAAGAUGGUAAUGAGAGUGUUUCGCAAGUUGACUUUACAACAAGACGAAGGUGUACGUAUCUUUUCACAGUCUUGGUAAAUUGCAAAUCUUUGAGACAAUUACAUACAUGUAUUUCAUUCUUAUACAAUAUACUUCUAAUAUAGCAUUUAGAUUUUUCAAUAAUAAUAACACACAAAUGCAUCGGUACCUCAAAGAUAAAGGUAUCCAACAAGUCAGUCGGAGAGUCCUUGGUUACCAGGGACCAGGAAGUCAGUGUCUCCACAAUAUUUAUAGACAAACAUAAACUUGAGAGCAAAAGUGGACCACUCUCAGGGCAUGGGGGCGGAGACCAGGUUCUGAUAGAGAGCUUUGUGAGUGCCAUCUAUCAUAAAGACUUUUCCAAAAUCCACACGGGAGCAGACGAGACACUGGCCAGCCAUCUUGUUGUGUUUGCUGCAGAGAAAGCCCGCAAAGAAAAUCGUGUUGUUACCAUCAAUGAGGACAUGUCGUUCGAAUGACGUCAUUAUUUAUAGUGCCCUAUAAACUGUUAAGAAAACACAUGUACACAAUGAAAAUUAUUUAAAGAAUGGUUAUAACUUUUGUAAAUACUGCAUUCGAAGUAGUGCAGAGUUUAUAUGACUGUUUAAAAAUGUAUUCGAGUUUAUUUUAUAGGGACUUUUACAAGUUAACUAAGUAUUGUAUACAUAACCAGGAAAAAACAAGCACUAAAAUAUGAAUUUUUAAUAAAACAAAACAAUAAAUAU
rnacentral:misc_RNA from 1 species